AUCCAACUGACGAGUCCCAAAUAGGACGAAACGCGUGUCCUGGAU
rfam:Schistosoma mattheei strain Denwood, Zambia genome assembly, scaffold: SMTD_scaffold0002258